rnacentral:RNase_P_RNA from 1 species
GUGCAGGCCGGGUGAUCGCGGUCGGGUGACUCGUCAGCCGACCGAGGAAAGUCCGGACACCGCAGGGCAGGACGCUGGCGCAAGCCAGGCGGCGAAAGCCGACGGAAAGUGGAACAGAAAGUAGACCGCCGACGGCGUGUUCUCCGGAGACGCCGCCGGUAAGGGUGAAACGGUGGGGUAAGAGCCCACCAGCGUCGCGGCGACGCGGCGGCUCGCCAAACCCCGUCCGGUGCAAGGCGAACAGGGCCCGUCAUCAGGUUGCCCGCCGAGGGCCCGGGUAGCUGCCGAGAGGGAUGGUCACCCUCGACAGAAUCCGGCUUACAGGCCUGCUACAGCG